UGCAGGUUUAUGUUCUAAGGGUAAAAUCGGAAAAAACUAAGCACCCUAACUGAACAAAUGGUAUACUCACGAAGCCUAGGAAAAAGGACCGGGAUUAGGCACCCCGUUACUCUAGGUGUCAAUUAAAAACUGGGGACUACGAACUAAUGUUUAAAACCCUAAGAACUUGGCGGUGUGGUACAGUCCAGACAGGGGAACUUGACGCUUAAUUCGAUGGUCCGCGUUUAAUCUCAUCUUUUCUGGUAAAAUCAGGGGUAUAUCGCCGUUAAAGGCUAUAGCGAGAUCGGAUCAAAAUAGUCACAAUUGGUUUAUACCAGCUUAUUCAGGUAAGAUGCCCCCAAUGAAAAGAGGUUAGUUGAGUUACCAAAUAUAGUUUAUGGAAGUCGCUAAGGCAGGUGAGGCUGAAAGAGGACUUGUUAGUAAACAAAGAUUAAAACGCUUCGUUGAAUAGUGAAAUGCCAUGCGUACAAAUCGCCCGUCGCUCUCUUGGAAACCGGAGAU
rnacentral:rRNA from 1 species